rnacentral:lncRNA from 1 species
UAAUAUAAUUAUAAAAGAAGGAAAUGGCUUUAUUAUUAGUAGAAGAAAAUACUUCUAAUUGAAUUAGAAUAGAAUUAUUCAUCUAUAAUAAUUAUAAAAAGAAGGAAAAUGAUUAUAUUAUUAAUAGUAGAAGAAAAUCUGGCAGAAAGAACAAAAAAGAUGCAGCUUAGCGGAACCACUGUGUUUGAAAUCAGGAGAUAAAAGACAAAUAGACAAUCUCUCUUACAAAGCAUACUUCACCCUUCCUUCCUAGAGAAGGGGAUCACUGAAAGAUUCUCAAAAGGGUCCUCAUCACAGUUCAAUUCAGAGUCUUA